rnacentral:rRNA from 1 species
CUUAAGCAUAUCAAUAAGCGGAGGAAAAGAAACCAACAGGGAUUGCCCCAGUAACGGCGAGUGAAGCGGCAACAGCUCAAAUUUGAAAUCUGGCCCCAGGCCCGAGUUGUAAUUUGCAGAGGAUGCUUUUGGCGCGGUGCCUUCCGAGUUCCCUGGAACGGGACGCCAUAGAGGGUGAGAGCCCCGUACGGUUGGACACCAAGCCUUUGUAAAGCUCCUUCGACGAGUCGAGUAGUUUGGGAAUGCUGCUCUAAAUGGGAGGUACAUUUCUUCUAAAGCUAAAUAUUGGCCAGAGACCGAUAGCGCACAAGUAGAGUGAUCGAAAGAUGAAAAGCACUUUGAAAAGAGGGUUAAACAGCACGUGAAAUUGUUAAAAGGGAAGCGCUUGUGACCAGACUUGCGUCCGGUGAAUCACCCAGCUCUCGCGGCUGGGGCACUUCGCCGGCACAGGCCAGCAUCAGCUUGCCGUCGGGGACAAAAGCUUCAGGAACGUGGCUCCUCUCGGGGAGUGUUAUAGCCUGUUGCAUAAUACCCUUCGGCGGGCUGAGGUACGCGCUCCGCAAGGAUGCUGGCGUAAUGGUCAUCAGCGACCCGUCUUGAAACACGGACCAAGGAGUCAACCUUAUGUGCGAGUGUUUGGGUGUCAAACCCCUACGCGUAAUGAAAGUGAACGCAGGUGAGAGCUUCGGCGCAUCAUCGACCGAUCCUGAUGUUCUCGGAUGGAUUUGAGUAAGAGCAUAUAGGGUUGGACCCGAAAGAAGGUGAACUAUGCGUGUGUAGGGUGAAGCCAGAGGAAACUCUGGUGGAGGCUCGCAGCGGUUCUGACGUGCAAAUCCGAUCGUCAAACAUGCGCAUGGGGGCGAAAGACUAAUCGAAUCCUUCUAGUAGCUGGUUUUCUGCCGAAGUUCCCCCUCAGG